rnacentral:lncRNA from 10 species
CUGUUCGGUUUCGCCUUCCUGCUGUGCAGUCUUUUGACGCUUGCUGUCCAACUUUGGAGUUUUCUUGCCUUUUUUUCUCUCAGAGUUGAGCCCCUGCCCGGGCCCUUUAGUCCCUCGGUCACGAGGAACGGUAGAGUUUAGAACCUGUGAGUACGUUAGAAAGUUCGCAGUCGAGGAAGAACAGGGUUCGGGCAAGGGCAGCUGGUCCGGUACCAAGGGAAAACAGGCUGGGAUGGUGAAGGCGUCAGUGGCUACAAGGCUGGAAGUUUAGCACCAGAAGGGAAUUUGGAGAUCAAUUCAACCGCCUCAUUUCAGGCAUACUUAAAUUGAAACCCAGAAAGAUGAGGUAAUUUGCAGAAGGUCACCCAGCAACCCCUGAGCAGGCAGGACUGCAACACAAAUGUCUGACGUGGGCUUCCACUGUGUAAUGCUAAGCAGAUAGGACGUAAAUUCCUUUGCAGACUUCUCAUUUUUCCUUACCCCCUGCCUCUCAUAUUACACACCUUCCCCAUUUAGCUUUUCUUCUUUUACUUUGCACUUGCUUUUGUACAUCUAAAAGGAAUUAAUUAUUCAACAGCAGUGGGAACCCUUGAAACAUAAUCUGGAAAAAAAGAUUAAUAAAGUUUUUUUUAUGUCGCGUAGUGAAAAGAGCAUGUGCUUUAGAGACAAACCUGGGCUCCAGCUAUUUACUUGUGAGAGCUUUAGGUCAAUUGGCUUUUAUUACAGCUUUUUAACCAUAAUAAAAUGGGGAUCCCUGCCUAGCAGAAGAUUGAUUAAAUGGAUCAUAAAUUGUCCAACUAGUGCCUAGCAAAUAGUACAUACUCAGUAUUUUCCCCUUUUUAAUCCCCGUUUUACAGGCGAUGGAACUCACCAGAGACCAGAUAGCUAGAGAAUGGCUGAGCUGGGUUUUAAAUCUAGUCAAUCUUGACCCCAGAGCUCUCCAGCCUAAAGGUAAUGUUUAGACUUAACUUCCAGUGGUGUCAUUAUAAGAGUCAAAAACAGACUGAAGAAAUAAAAUAGCAGAAUAAAGUAGUGGGGCAUUAAAGAAUCAUCUAGUUAAUUCUUGGUGAUGAUAACAGAAAUGUUGGGAAAAGUGUCAGAAGCCUUAAUUUUCUCCCCAUUCUUUCUGAGUAUCUUUAGAUCAACCACCACUUCCCAAGUAUUUGCAAACAAGCAGCAUAGAUAUUAUAGCCCUAGAAAGAGUUGGAAACAUUAUCACAACAUUAGCAAGAGAGUCAAGGCAUUUUUAAGGAAACAGAAGCUUCCAUUUCAUGAACUAAUAAAGCCCAAGGUGCCAAAGACACUGAUGUCAUACUGGAAAGUGGUGUAAAAUAAAAUUAUAAGCAUAAUUUCAACAUCAAAUAAAACAAAUGAUGAAACAUGCCAGUUAAUGGCAGAGCCAGCGUCCAACCUCAAUCCCAAUCCAGCUCAGAAGCUCUAAUUCUACCAUGGUUAUCUGGCAGGACUUGACACUUCAAUUGGAUUGUACUCAAAGCUGUAUUUUCUUAAACAGGCAAAAUAUUCUCACAGAAGCAAUAUUUAAGGCAGAGCUCUUUUUUUUUUUUUUUAAGGUUUGACAAGAUCUUCAAAAGAUUAAGAAUAGACAGGAAACCAAUUAAGAAUGUUAAGAGUUACGGCCAAGAGUUUGGGCAAAGAAAGUUUGCCACUCAACUCUCAAUCAUUUGCCCCCAGAAAAGGGAUUAGGUUGGGCUGUUCAGGCUAAUUAUAUGAACAUUUUAUAAAAAGAAAUCAGACACAGAAAAUCAAGCCCCACAAAAGCAGAAGCUGGUACUCCAAGCUGUGGCUCAGCCCUUCCCUUCCCCCACAGGACAGAACUCAGCUGAACAUCUACUUCCUUCCCUACUAACUCAGCAGUUCUCAGAAAGGAAAUGGCAACCAUAUGCUUUCUCAUUAACCAAAACGAAAGGCAGCCUUGAGAAACAAGAUGGUCUGGGCAAUACAGAAACUGUUCAGCCCAGGCUAGUUGGUUUCAGCUACCUCUAAAUCACUCCCAAAGAUGUGGUUAAUAAAAAGAAAAAGGAGAUGUCAAGGAGACAAUUAUUGCUAGG